rnacentral:hammerhead_ribozyme from 1 species
UUCCGAUCGCGAGAUGCGAAUCUUGCCUGAUGAGUCCGAAAGGAUGAAAUCGGAA